rnacentral:rRNA from 1 species
AGAGUUUGAUCCUGGCUCAGGACGAACGCUGGCGGCGCGCUUAACACAUGCAAGUCGAGCGAGAACCUGGCCUUCGGGCCUGGGGAAAGCGGCGAACGGGUGAGUAACACGUGGGUAACCCACCCUUGGUACUGGGAUAGCCCGGGGAAACCCGGAUUAAUACCGGAUGGCCCAACAGCUCUUCGGGGCGGUUGGAAAAGGUAGCUUCGGCCUCCGACCAAGGACGGGCCCGCGGCGGAUUAGCUUGUUGGUGGGGUAACGGCCUACCAAGGCGACGAUCCGUAGCUGGUCUGAGAGGACGAUCAGCCACACUGGGACUGAGACACGGCCCAGACUCCUACGGGAGGCAGCAGUGGGGAAUCUUGCGCAAUGGGCGAAAGCCUGACGCAGCGACGCCGCGUGGGGGAAGAAGGCUUUCGGGUUGUAAACCCCUUUCAGGAAGGACGAAGCCACUCGGGUUAAUAGCCCAGAGGGUGACGGUACUUCCAGAAGAAGCCCCGGCUAACUACGUGCCAGCCGCCGCGGUAAUAC